AGAGUUUGAUCCUGGCUCAGAAUCAACGCUGGCGGCGUGCCUAACACAUGCAAGUCGCACGAGAAAGGGUAGCAAUACCUGAGUAAAGUGGUGCACGGGUGAGUAACACGUGACUAACCUACCCUCGAGUGGGGAAUAACCUAGAGAAAUCUGGGCUAAUACCGCAUAACACUUACGAGUCAAAGCAGCAAUGCGCUUGGGGAGGGGGUCGCGGCCGAUUAGCUAGUUGGCGGGGUAAUGGCCCACCAAGGCGAUGAUCGGUAUCCGGCCUGAGAGGGCGCACGGACACACUGGAACUGAAACACGGUCCAGACUCCUACGGGAGGCAGCAGUGGGGAAUUUUGCGCAAUGGGGGAAACCCUGACGCAGCAACGCCGCGUGGAGGAUGAAAUAUCUUGGUAUGUAAACUCCUUUCGAUGGGGAAGAUUAUGACGGUACCCAUAGAAGAAGCCCCGGCUAACUUCGUGCCAGCAGCCGCGGUAAUACGAGGGGGGCAAGCGUUGUUCGGAAUUAUUGGGCGUAAAGGGUGCGUAGGCGGUUUGGCAAGUCUGGUGUGAAAUCUUCGGGCUCAACUCGAAGUCUGCACUAGAAACUGCC
rnacentral:rRNA from 1 species